AGGGGUGAGAGGGCAGUGAGGUGUCACAUGUUAAAGAAGGGGCCAGCAGGGCAGCAUUGGAGCAAAGGCCUGGAGCAGAUGAGGAGGGGUCUCUUAGGCCAGGAGGACAGAGGAUCUGUGCUGAGGAGGGGCCAGUGGAGAGGUGCAGAGGCGGCCACAGUACCUCCUGUGUUGGGGACAGCAGGAGGCCACGUCACUGGUACAGGUCCAUGUGCUCUGGAUGCCAGUUCCUGAAAUCUACGUGAAGAUCUGUGGCCGGGGCAGACACUUUUGCCUGGAGACUCAGGACGACCUCAGUGGCCCCCAUAGCAUGUAGCCCUUGCCCCUGAGCCCAGCUCCCACAUCCCCCCCUCGGAGGAUGCAGCCUGAUACCGGCCUUCUGUGGCUUGCUGGGUACUCGUCAUGGACCCGAUAGAGCCUGCAGUCAGGACAGGCGCACAUGGAGAACUGUGCCCACAAACUCUAUGCUGCCAGGGCUCCCCGGAGACCUCGUGUGUCAUGCUGGAGAACUGUCCACAGCAACGCCAGUGACACAGGCUCUGUGCAACCCUGGAGACUCCUGUGGCGUGCAGCGAGUGUGUGUUCCCAAGAGAGUGUCUUUCCCAGCCUGAUCUCUCCACCUGGCCCAAUACUACCUCCAGGAGGAGUCCUUGGUCAGAGCCACCCACAUUGAGCCCCUGCCCCUCUGUGGACUAACUGUCCCCCUUAAGGCCCCACCUGCUUCAAGCUCUUGAGCAACAAUGAUCGAUGGCUCUGACAGCUGUUGGAUUGGUCUGGACAGGCUUCGCUGUGCUGCAGUAACAAGUUCACCUGAACAUGGCUCCACCAAGGGCUGUUGCCCUUGCCUACGAAUUCCACAGUAGUCUCAGGGCAUAGUUCACGUUCACAUCCGCUCUGUGAGGCCACCCCGGCAGCACACGCACUCUGAUUUGCAGUACUUCCCUUCGAGCAUCACCCAUAUUAUUUGUGCUCAUAGCUCUUGGCCAGAACCAGUUCUGGCCAAUGUGCCAGGGCAGGUGCCAAGCUGGACAAUGAGGAAGCAGGUGGAUAUCAUGAGGGCUCCUAGUGCCUCUGCCAGGUGUGCUGGUUCAUUUAAUCCUCCACAUCCCUCGCUGAGGGAAGUGCUGUUACUACAGUGGGCCCCGAUUUACGAAUUCAAUUAAUUCCUGAGGGCUGGUUGCAACUCAUGUUGGUCAAUUGCCUUCAAAGUCUCUCUCCUGUAUAAUUUUAGGCCACACUUUCUUCCAGGCAGAUAUGGGUGUCCUUAGAGAGACAUUGGCCCAGGAUUUCUCAGUUAACCCCGCACAGGAAAGGAUGUUGUAAUGUUCCUUCCAGAACUCUUUAGGGAUUAAGUCUGUAUCUGAGAUCAUCUGGAAGCACAUGUGGCCGGCAUUUGGGUUAAAACUCAACUUUGGUUUUAAGUUAAAACUAAAAUGCCAGUCGUAAUGCAAGUUGUUCGUAUGUCAGGAUGGUUGUAACUCAAGAGUCCACUGUUUUGCAGAUGAGGAAACUGAGGCCCAGAGAGGCCAAGAAACUUGUGCAAGGUCACCCAGAGUCAGCCAGAAACACGACACUGUGGCUCCCUGCUGCCUUUGGGAUAAAACCUGAGCUCUUUAGCUGAGCACUGACUUGCUCCCUUGCCCUUCACCUGUUUCUGUGUUGGGGUUCUGGGGUGUGGGCAACUCCCACAGUCCUCAGGCAGCUUGCUGAUGCUCUUUAGAGGCCCAGAUGUCCAUAUGCCAGUGGGCCCUGGCCUCCGAAGGGUGGAAUGGAGGGGGAGAGGUGGAUGCAGAAGUAUGUCCUACCCAUGAGAGUUGGCACUUUUUGCCAGAUGGGAGUGUGUUCUCAGUGGAGUUCAUGGCCUCGUUUGUAAUCCCAGUCCCAUUACUUGGUAACUGUGUGAUGUCAAGCAAGCCAUUUAAUAUACCUGAGCCUCAGUUUCCUCAUCCAUAAAGGAAGGGGGGUGAUGAAAGAAAGUCCUUGUAGGGUUAUCGUGAAUUACGGUAAGAUGGCAUCUAAAAGGCAAACUUCUGGUAAUUGCUGAAUUAUAAAUAGCUCUAUUCACCAAUAAAAUGAUAAUAAUCGUUCACCA